CUUGCAGCACAGAAUGUCUGUUAUGAGGAAGAUCAUAUUAGUAGUUUAGUUUAUCGACUGAGACUUGACCAGUUUAUUUUUUCUUUUGGACCUUUUGGUAUUUGUUUAGAUAUGCAGAUAUUAGUAUAAGUCCCUAGCUGUGUAUCUACAGAAACUUUGUUGUUUUCGAAUAAAACCUGAGGAACUUUCAGAUGAGGAACACUUUCAAAUCCCUUUUAGAGGAGAAGCAGGUGUUUCACCUGUGCACUGCGGCCCGUUGCAGCUGCUCCCUCAUCCACAGAGCAUCGCUGACGGCAGAGUCGUCCAGGGACAGGAACAGCACCUGUGUGCUAGCGGGCAGGUCCCGAACCAGGCUGGACAGGGACGACUCCGAGCUCCACAGACACUCCAAGAAGCCAGACUUGUUGGUGAAGGCGUGUAUGAGCAGGGACCCGGGCACAGCUCCGGGCUGGUACGACAACUCUCCAGCCAGGGUGGGGACCGUGAACGCAGCGGCGAGGUCCCCCGGUUCUGGUCCGGAGGCUGGUUCUGGACCGGAGGCUUUUGUUGAUCCCCAGCUACCGAAGAAUCCCUGGACCUGCUCAUCUUCUGUCACUGUCGUCCGGAACCUCUUCGUGGCUCCAGUCACCUGAGCCGCCACAAGAAGAAGGCACCACAACAACGGAGACCGUGAACGCAUCAAACCCAUUUUCCUGCUCACAGCGAGUGACCCUGAACUCAGCAGCAGCGCACCUGCAUGUUUUAAACAGAGUUUAACCUAAUUUCAAUUGCCUCGCUGCUGUUACGACGUGUCAUUGGGUGUUUCAUUAAUUUCCUAAAUUCCCCUAAACAUUUAAGCCGGAGGCGGCGCGUGCCUCGAGCUACGGCGGCCCCGUGGGGACAAGAAGCCUCGGAGCGCGCACAGCGACUGCUCUUUGACUACUAACCAACUUCUACUGGCCGCCAAACCGAUCCGGCUUUUUGACAUUUGGGUUGAACCACACUGACCUUUAACGCUAAGAGCACAAAUAAAGUUGUUAGCGUUAAAUAAAAAGCAAAUAAAGCAGCCAUUCUGAAUCUGAACUUAAUAAGACUGCUUUAAACAGAGAAAUAAAUGUAAAAACAGCGCCCAGAAGUUUGAAACUUUAUACACAAACCAACUUGUUAACCUUUUCAUGGAAAUGAAAAUAUAAGAUAUAUAUUAACAUAUAUAUAUAUAUAAAACAGAAAAAAUAUGAAGGCACCGCUUGCCGCCGUAUAGCUGACGUUAAGAGAAGCGGGUGCUCAUUUUUUUUGGGACAUAUGAACGCCACAUGACGACUAUGCAAGUCUGACAUGUUCAGUGUGACCGUUGAACCCACUUGCAACAAUAAUUAUAACAAAUGUCAAAAUGGAGCCGUCUGACUCACGAAAUAAUUGUACGAGGCAAGCAUGGACACACAUCAUCCAGUCCAGCUGUGCGUAAAAGCGCCGCGCGCGCACACGGAGCGUUGAGGAUCCUCAAUGCGAUGGCGCAUCCUUAGAGAAGACGCGCUGCUUCCAAUCCAGCAGAGGUGUAGACUGCCUGCACGCAAGCAUUUCUUACACCUUGUUAAUAAAAAUCCAGCUUUAUGUUUUACGAAAAGCUAUUUGGCUGAAACUACGCGCGACUUUCAACGAUGGAGAUAAUUAAGUUUGUUUUAAUACUUGCGCUGAUUCUGGGAAACGUUUUUUGUCAAGACGUGGACGUUGACAACUGGAGAGAGAACAAGUGGCCAAAUUCUGACACUAUUCAAAACAUAUUAAUAAGACUGACCAGAAAACCGGGACCACGUCAGUAUCUUGGACUGAUGGGGAAGAAAAACUCCGCGAAAACGCAGAGGGCGCGUAAACGGUAUAAAUUUCAAACCUUUGUGGGUCUGAUGGGUAAAAGAAGCUUCGAGGAUGAAGGAGCUCUGAGAGCUUCGCACAGAUCUGACGAUUACUGAGGAAACUACAUUGAUUUUUCUUAAUACUUGUUUUGAGUGUGUGUUCAUAAAACUGUUAGUUUGGUGAAAGAGGUUGAGUUUUAUGGUAAUUGGUGACAUCUAGUGGAUGCAUACGGAGUAUGACAAUCGUCCUAGAACAAACUCAAAAUCACUCCUCCAUAUCAUCACAGGUUUAUUAAGUGACUUUGUACAAUACAAAUGAAAAAUAAAUUUAAAAAUACAGAGAUGGAGUACAUAGCCAAAGCAAACUGUGGUG